rnacentral:rRNA from 1 species
GAUGAACGCUGGCGGCGUGCCUAAUACAUGCAAGUCGAGCGAACAGACGAGGAUCUUGCUCCUCUGACGUUACCGGCGGACGAGUGAGUCACACGUAGAUAACCUACCUAUAAGACUUGGAUCACUUCGGGAAACCGGAGCUACUACCGGAUAAUAUAUUGACCCGCAUGGUUCAAUAGUGAUAUACGGUUUUUCUGUCACUUAUCGAUGGAUCCGCGCGUCAUUUACUAGUUGGUAAGGUAACGGCUUACCAAGGCGCCGAUGCGUAGCCAACCUGAAAGCGUGAACGCCAACUGUGAAAGUGAGACACGACCCAGACACUGAGAGGAGGCAGAGGUAGGGAAGCUUGCGAACUGGGCGAAAGCCUGCAGGAGGAACGCCGCGUGAGUGAUGAAGGGCUUCGGAUCGUAAAACUCUGUUAUUAGGGAAGAACAAAUGUGUAAGUAACUAUGCACGUCUUGACGGUACCUAAUAAGAAAGCCACGGCUAACUACGU